AGAGUUUGAUCCUGGCUCAGGAUGAACGCUAGCGACAGGCUUAACACAUGCAAGUCGAGGGGCAGCACAGGUAGCAAUACCGGGUGGCGACCGGCGCACGGGUGAGUAACGCGUAUGCAACUUGCCUAUCAGAGGGGGAUAACCCGGCGAAAGUCGGACUAAUACCGCAUGAAGCAGGGAUCCCGCAUGGGAAUAUUUGCUAAAGAUUCAUCGCUGAUAGAUAGGCAUGCGUUCCAUUAGGCAGUUGGCGGGGUAACGGCCCACCAAACCGACGAUGGAUAGGGGUUCUGAGAGGAAGGUCCCCCACAUUGGUACUGAGACACGGACCAAACUCCUACGGGAGGCAGCAGUGAGGAAUAUUGGUCAAUGGCCGAGAGGCUGAACCAGCCAAGUCGCGUGAGGGAUGAAGGUUCUAUGGAUCGUAAACCUCUUUUAUAAGGGAAUAAAGUGCGGGACGUGUCCCGUUUUGUAUGUACCUUAUGAAUAAGGAUCGGCUAACUCCGUGCCAGCAGCCGCGGUAAUACGGAGGAUCCGAGCGUUAUCCGGAUUUAUUGGGUUUAAAGGGUGCGUAGGCGGCCUUUUAAGUCAGCGGUGAAAGUCUGUGGCUCAACCAUAGAAUUGCCGUUGAAACUGGGGGGCUUGAGUAUGUUUGAGGCAGGCGGAAUGCGUGGUGUAGCGGUGAAAUGCAUAGAUAUCACGCAGAACCCCGAUUGCGAAGGCAGCCUGCCAAGCCAUUACUGACGCUGAUGCACGAAAGCGUGGGGAUCAAACAGGAUUAGAUACCCUGGUAGUCCACGCAGUAAACGAUGAUCACUAGCUGUUUGCGAUACACUGUAAGCGGCACAGCGAAAGCGUUAAGUGAUCCACCUGGGGAGUACGCCGGCAACGGUGAAACUCAAAGGAAUUGACGGGGGCCCGCACAAGCGGAGGAACAUGUGGUUUAAUUCGAUGAUACGCGAGGAACCUUACCCGGGUUUGAACGCAUUCGGACCGAGGUGGAAACACCUUUUCUAGCAAUAGCCGUUUGCGAGGUGCUGCAUGGUUGUCGUCAGCUCGUGCCGUGAGGUGUCGGCUUAAGUGCCAUAACGAGCGCAACCCUUGCCACUAGUUACUAACAGGUAAAGCUGAGGACUCUGGUGGGACUGCCAGCGUAAGCUGCGAGGAAGGCGGGGAUGACGUCAAAUCAGCACGGCCCUUACAUCCGGGGCGACACACGUGUUACAAUGGCGUGGACAAAGGGAAGCCACCUGGCGACAGGGAGCGAAUCCCCAAACCACGUCUCAGUUCGGAUCGGAGUCUGCAACCCGACUCCGUGAAGCUGGAUUCGCUAGUAAUCGCGCAUCAGCCAUGGCGCGGUGAAUACGUUCCCGGGCCUUGUACACACCGCCCGUCAAGCCAUGGGAGCCGGGGGUACCUGAAGUCCGUAACCGCGAGGAUCGGCCUAGGGUAAAACUGGUGACUGGGGCUAAGUCGGAACAAGGUA
rnacentral:rRNA from 1 species